UACGGGGGAGCAAGCGUUGUUCGGAUUUACUGGCGUAAAGGGCGCGUAGGCGGUCAGCACAAGUCAGUUGUGAAAUCUCCGGGCUUAACUCGGAAAGGUCAACUGAUACUGUGCGACUAGAGUGCAGAAGGGGCAACUGGAAUUCUCGGUGUAGCGGUGAAAUGCGUAGAUAUCGAGAGGAACACCUGCGGCGAAGGCGGGUUGCUGGGCUGACACUGACGCUGAUGCGCGAAAGCCAGGGAGGCGAAACGGG
rnacentral:rRNA from 1 species